rnacentral:rRNA from 1 species
AGUGAACGCUGGCGGUAUGCCUAACACAUGCAAGUCGAACGGCAGCACAGUAAGUGCUUGCUCUUACGGGUGGCGAGUGGCGGACGGGUGAGGAAUACAUCGGACUCUACUUUUUCGUGGGGGAUAACGUAGGGAAACUUACGCUAAUACCGCAUACGACCUUCGGUUGAAAGCAGGGGAUCUUCGGACCUUGCGCGAUUGAAUGAGCCGAUGUCGUAUUAGCUAGUUGGCGGGGUGAUGGCCCACCCAGGCGACGAUCGGUAGCUGGUCUGAGAGGAUGAAAGGCGACACAGGGACUGAGGGACGGCCCAGACGGGUAAGGGAGGCAGAAGGGGGGAAUAUUGACCAAUGGGCGCAGGCGUGAUGAAGAAACGCUGCGGGUGGGAAGACGGUUUUCGGGGGGAAAAAAGCUUGCGGUUGAAACGAAGCGUGAGUGACGGUACCCGAAAAAGAAGCACCGGCUAAAUUCGUG